CCCUUAGAUGUUCUGGGCCGCACGCGCGCUACACUGAUGCAUUCAACGAGUCUAACACCUGCUCUGAUAGGGGUGGGUAAUCUUUUGAAUGUGCAUCGUGAUUGGGAUAGAUGAUUGCAAUUUUUCAUCUUCAACGAGGAAUGCCUAGUAAACGCAAGUCAUCAGCUUGCAUUGAUUACGUCCCUGCCCUUUGUACACACCGCCCGUCGCUCCUACCGAUUGAAUGAUCCGAUGAAUAUCAUGGAUUGAGGAUGCAAGUAGGUUAGCCUAUCUUCAUCUUCGAGAAGUGAAGUAAAUCUUAUCAUUUAGAGGAAGGAGAAGUCGUAACA
rnacentral:rRNA from 1 species